GGAAUAGUUACACUGAGGCAGUGUUAGUUUUGAUUGUAGCAUCACGUGACCAUAGACAUGUGCAGUUCAAUGAUGGAGGGAUCAUCUAUUAUUACACACCUGAUUUUCUUUUCUUGAUUUUCUUUCAGAGGACAGUCACAUCCUUGCUUUCAUCCUCACUGGAGUUGCUGUUCUUGCUGUUAUUGCUGCUGCUGUUGUUGGAGUCGUUCUGUACCGGAAGAGGAACGAUUCAGACAGGCGUCACAAACCAGUUGGUUCUGACACCAGCUCUGAGAACACUGAGGGGCAGAAGCUGGCUCCUGAGGCCCAACCUCUGACCACAGGUCAAAGUUAAAUCAUGAAGAGGCUUCUCACGUUCAGCUUCCUAAACCAGGAUGGAGUGCAUCGCUGUUCAUUUAUAAUCCUUACAAUCAGGCUUGGGACUUCAGCUAACUGCAGAGUCUGCAUUUGCUAAUUUACAAAAUUCAUACUUGACUCUAUUUUGAUAACAAUCAUCAAUCUGUAAGAAGUGUAAAUCAAUUACAUCUCUAUUUGUGAUAGAUUUGAUUAACUCUGCUGCUUCACGUUAAAACCUUUUAAUUAUGUU
ensembl:lncRNA